UACGUAGGGUGCAAGCGUUGUCCGGAAUUAUUGGGCGUAAAGAGCGUGUAGGCGGCCCGACCAGUCCGCUGUGAAAGUCCAAGGGCUCAACCCUGGAAUGCCCGGUGGAUACUGUCGGGCUAGAGUCCGGAAGGGGCGAGUGGAAUUCCUGGUGUAGCGGUGAAAUGCGCAGAUAUCAGGAGGAACACCAAUUGCGAAGGCAGCUUCUAUGGUUUAUUGACGCUGAGGCACGAAAGCGUGGGGAUCAAAACAGG
rnacentral:rRNA from 1 species